rnacentral:tRNA from 1 species
AAGGGAGACCUAAUUCAGGUAUGGGACGAAAAAAAAGUAGUCGCUACCAAGAAUCAAUCCCAAAAGGUCGGAGCGAGGUAUGAGGCUUUCAAACUAGGUUCUGGGUUCAAACAAGACCUGAAUCAGGAACAAGGGCUAUUAGCUCAGGUGGUUAGAGCGCACCCCUGAUAAGGGUGAGGUCCCUGGUUCGAGUCCAGGAUGGCCCACCUGCACAGGUGGCAAGAACAAGAGAAGCGAGGAAUCAGCACCUUAUCUUAUCUAUAUAUAUAUAGGAGAGAAUGCUGGCUCUGAGUAAAGAGUCCAGAGGAACCUUGAAAACUGCAUAGAGCUAGGUGAAAAAGCCAAAAAAGAAGACCGCAAGGUCAAGCUAAUAAGGGCUAACGGUGGAUACCUAGGCAC